rnacentral:rRNA from 1 species
UACGAAGGGGGCUAGCGUUGCUCGGAAUUACUGGGCGUAAAGCGCACGUAGGCGGUCUUUUAAGUCGGGGGUGAAAUCCUGGAGCUCAACUCCAGAACUGCCUUCGAUACUGGAAGACUCGAGUCCGGGAGAGGUGAGUGGAACUGCGAGUGUAGAGGUGAAAUUCGUAGAUAUUCGCAAGAACACCGGUGGCGAAGGCGGGUCUCUGGGCCGUAACUGACGCUGAGGAGCGAAAGCGUGGGGAGCGAACAGG